rnacentral:lncRNA from 1 species
AUGCAAAGGUACAUUUCAAAACACGCCGGACAAUAUUGGCUGGAAAAUGACUUGGUUAAAACCUGAUGAUCUUACCAGGUAUGUGUUCGACUAGUACUUCGAAUGUCUAUAUGUUUAGUCCACGUGUAGAUUAAAUGAGAAAAAUAUUUUUGUUUUUUAACAGCAUUCUGCAGGUUGAUGAAUACUAAUGAAGCUGUGGAUGUCACUGAGCAGCUUCAUUUUAAAUGAGGGGUUGCUGUCUGCCUGCUGUCUGCCUGGUGUGCUGUGACAUUUUGAAGGUGGAAACAUUUCUGUGAGUAGAGAUGUUUUGCUUCAAAAUCAGUAAACAUUGUGUCCUUGGUCUUACCUAUGAUGAUCCUAUCCCGAACCUGAAUUUCUGUUGAAAAAACUUAUACGGAUCUGGCUUCUGAGGUGGACCAUUAUAAGGACAGCAGCAUUUUUUGAAAAUUGUUUUAAGUAAGUUUUCUGAUGUUGAUAGUUUGUAAACCGUAAAUGUUUUUCCUUUCCUAGGGCUAGUGCUGCGAGAUUUACUUGUCUGUCUUAUGAAAAUCUGGUGAUUGGGAAAACCUCCAAUGGAUGUGGGAAGAAAGUUCAAGAUGAAUUACAUUUUUACAUUGGUU